GGAAGAAGCCUGAUUAGCAGAGGCUUUCUAUCUGGUUAAGUUUGGGACUUGGAGAGAAGUAGUUCAAGGAUCUGCAGUCCAGGUACGUGAAAGGAGAGCAGUGAGGGAGACGCUGCUCUGUCUUCUCCGUGGAUUGUAGUGAGGAACUUCUCAAACUGAUGGCAGUACUGAAAAGUUACUUUGUCAGGGGCUAUUUGCUACUGAGUGCUUGAUUUCAUCCUAACAGACUCAUGAAAUGGGUCUAGUUGGUUCUGGUUAUAGAAGAGGAAACUGAGACAUAAAAGUUAAGUAACCUGUCUGAGAUUAUACAAGUAGGAAAGCUGGAUCUGAAUUUAAUGGCAUUAAAAUUUCAUGAGAGUGAGAUUAAUUAGUCUUUUACAAAGCUGAUAGUCAGUUUUCUGAGCAGGCCAGGCGUGGUGGUGCAAGCCACAGCGAUCGAGAGGAGACAGAGGCAGAAGGAGCUCUUGAGAGUUCAAGGCCAGUCUACUCUACAUAGUGAGUUCUAGGACAGCCAGGGCUAAAUAGGGAAAUCCUUUCCCAAAUAAACAAUUAAACAAAGUACCCCGAAGGUGUAAACUAAAGUUCCCAAAUAAACAAUUAAUUGAACAAAUAAAGUACCCUGAAGGUGUAAACUAAAGUUCCCAAAUAAACAAUUAAUUGAACAAAUAAAGUACCCUGAAGGUGUAAAGUAAA